rnacentral:rRNA from 1 species
GUCGAACGCUGGCGGCGUGCCUAAUACAUGCAAGUAGGACGCAGUUGCGAACGGGUGAGUAACGCGUAGGUAACUACCUAUUAGAGGGGGAUAACUAUUGGAAACGAUAGCUAAUACCUCAUCCUAGUAGAUUGACCUCCGUUGUAUUAGCUAGUAGGUAGGGUACUGGUCUACCUAGGCAACGGUACAUAGCCUACUGGGGAAGGUGGUCGGCCAAAAUGGGACUGGAAAACGGCCCAGACUGCUACGGGAGGCAGCAGUAGGGGAUCUUCGGCAAUGGGGGGAACCCUGACCGAGCAACGCCGCGUGAGUGAAGAAGGUUUUCGGAUCGUAAAGCUCUGUUGUUAAGGAAGCGUUACUUAACGAGGAAGGGUCGGCUAACUACGUGCCAGCAGCCGCGGUAAUAC